UACGUAGGGGGCUAGCGUUGUCCGGAAUCAUUGGGCGUAAAGCGCGUGUAGGCGGUCCGGUAAGUCCGCUGUGAAAGUCGGGGGCUCAACCCUCGAAUGCCGGUGGAUACUGUCGGGCUAGAGUGCGGAAGAGGCGAGUGGAAUUCCUGGUGUAGCGGUGAAAUGCGCAGAUAUCAGGAGGAACACCAAGUGCGAAGGCAGCUCGCUGGGACGUUACUGACGCUGAGACGCGAAAGCGUGGGGAGCAAACAGG
rnacentral:rRNA from 1 species